rnacentral:lncRNA from 1 species
GGCGUGGACUUUCUUCUUUGCACGUCGUGGUGUUUGGGAGACGAUCCUCCCUGGCCGGCGGGAUUCAUGACCCUUCGCGCAGUUGCCCCAUCCAGAUCCAUGUGCAGGACUGGUCUCGCGUGACACACGCGGCCGGCACCUUUCAGACGGAAGUGGAGGGGCUGACGUGCCGUGGGCAGAGCGCUAGCCAGGCUGCCCAGAGCGCGCGUCAUGUCCGUGUCCGUGAAGACGGUGUCUCUGUGUAUAGAUCACUGCAGGGGGGAGAGGAAAGAGCUCCCUGGACCUUGCAGGACGCAGCCUGUGGGGAAGGGGCUCCCGUUCUCGCCUGCGUCCCGCAGCCCUGUCUUAAACCACCUCCAUCAGCCUGGAUUAUGUUCAAAUUGUGGAGCGCAGCGCCGGAGGGGGCCUGCAUCCCCACUGCCCCUUCAUGUCCAGGUGCGGUGUCUCCGUCCCAGAGAAGCUGCAUGGAGUCCUCCCACGGUUCCCACUGGAGCCAGACCUCAGACUCGGAGCUCCUCAGUCUCUGCUGGGUCAGAGGCAGUGCGUUCAUUUUAGGAGUUACCCUUGGUAAAUGGGUCUCUAAUGGUGUGGUUUUAGUCAAUAGUAGAAUUAUUAAAUAUAUAGAAUUCUUUAGUAGCAUUAUAAGGUCCAGACAAAUUGGGGAUAUAACUGCUGUUAGUUCAGGGGAAGCUGAAAGAGGAUUUGCACUGCAAACAGUAUUUUUGAUGCAAACAUACAUUCUCCCCUGUAAGUUACCUAAGGACCUGGUCCACAGGAGAUGGGCUUGGAGCCCUGAUGGCUGAUGUGGUGGUCACUGAGUGGACAGAGGUGGAGCAGGUGGAGGUGGGUGUGUCUGCACUUGAGGAGGGGUGAGCAAAGGCUGGGGUGGGAAAGCAGGGAGCAGGCGGUACCCAGUGGGUGUUGAGGGGUCAGGAGGAGUGCAGGCACCGAGGUCCAUGUCAUGUGGGUGUGUACCUGGCCAUUAUGAUCCAAAGCAUGUCCGGCUGUGCUCCCACUGGCACCAGGACUUACGACUGCCCAUUCCAUGGGAAAGUCAUUGGAAAAGUCCAGUGCCAUUCCCUGUGUCAAAAUGUGACCCAGACAGGGUCAUCAUGUAGCUAGCAAUGGCCACAUCAAAGAUACUAUGAACAAUUUUAAACAACCCCAC